AUGGCGGCGGGUUCGCCGGAGCAGUUGCCACGAGGCGUGGAUGUAUUGGAGACCGUAGAGCUGACAGAGCUAGAGAAGAAGAUCUUCCAACGGCUUGUCAAUGUCGUCCGUCACUUCAAACUCGGCAUUGAGCUUCGCGUUGCCGGUGGUUGGGUUCGGGACAAGCUUGAUUUACCAAAAAUCCCGCCGAGUCCUAGUGGGCCUAGAUUCCGCGAUAAGUUCCGAGAAAUGGAGGAAAUGAUGCAUUCAAAGUUUGCAGAAUUCAACCCUGAUCAGUCAAAGCACUUGGAAACUGCUAACAUGAAAAUUUUCCUAAAAGGUGUUGAUUUUGUUAACUUGAGAUCUGAAAAAUAUGUUGGGAGCAGCCGUAUUCCUACCAUGAAGUUUGGCACAGCGGAAGAAGAUGCAUACCGUAGAGACCUAACAAUGAAUAGUUUAUUCUUCAACAUCAACAAUAACUCUGUGGAAGAUUUUACUCUAAGAGGUAUUGAUGACCUCAAAAGGGGCCUUAUUGCCACUCCUUUACCUGCCAAAGCUACCUUCUUGGAUGACCCACUAAGAGUUCUUCGAGCAAUUCGAUUUGCUGCUAGAUUCAACUUUGCAUUAUCCGAUGAGUUGAAGGAAGCUGCUUCAGACGAAAAAGUGAAAUUGGAACUUGGUCGCAAGAUUAGCAGAGAAUGUGUUGGCAAUGAGAUUAAUCUUAUGAUGUCAGGAAAACACCCAGCUGAAGCAAUGUCUCACAUCCGUGAUUUGGGGCUAUUUUACGUUGUAUUUUCUUUCCCUGAAACAUCUGACCCGCCAGGUUUUGACAACUGUGAUCGGUGUUGCGUUUCGCACAUUGAAGCAGCUUGGAACAUUGCAAUUUCUGUGCAUGACGGCGUUGAACAGCAACAGCUUUACCUCUAUAGUGCGCUCUUUUUCCCCCUCCGAAAGAUGUCCUGCUUGGACAAAAAAUCUAAUAAGGAGAUUCCCGCCACUAGCUAUAUUAUUAAGGAGUCAUUAAAGCUGGACGCAUGCGUUGCUAAAUCGGUUGUCAACAUACAUGCUGCCAGCAGAGAGUUUGCUGAAUUGGUUCUCCUCUUUGAAUCAAACGUCGCCUUGGGAGCACUCAAGGAGAAGCUCGAAGAUGCAUAUCUCGAUAUACCAACGGACAUGUUGAUGCGUGUAAAAGCAGGACUGAUACUUGAUGAAAUAAAGAACUUGUGGCGGGUGGCACUUCUCAUAUCCAUUCUCUCCUACCCAGAAGCUGGUGACACCCUCAGCCAGCAGGAUGAGCUGAGCCGGAGGAAAGAGAAGUACAUCAAAGUUGAGCGUUCCAUAACUGAUCUAGGUCUCGACGGGGUGUGGGAGUGGGAGCAGAAGCAGAAGCAAUUGGUUCGUGGCAACACCAUAAUGGGAGUUCUGCAGGUCAAGUCGGGAGGUCGACUGAUUGGAGAAUGGAAAGAACGCGUGUUCAAGUGGCGGCUUGCGCAUCCGGAAGGAACCAUGGAUGAUUGCAUCGAUUGGAUGAAGCGGUCCCAAUCAAAAUACCAAAAAGUAGAAUCCAGCAUCUGA
rnacentral:rRNA from 1 species